rnacentral:rRNA from 1 species
AGUGAACGCUGGCGGUAGGCCUAACACAUGCAAGUCGAACGGCAGCACAGUAAGAGCUUGCUCUUACGGGUGGCGAGUGGCGGACGGGUGAGGAAUACAUCGGACUCUACUUUUUCGUGGGGGAUCACGUAGGGAAACUUACGCUAAUACCGCAUACGACCUACGGGUGAAAGCAGGGGAUCUUCGGACCUUGCGCGAUUGAAUGAGCCGAUGUCGGAUUAGCUAGUUGGCGGGGUAAAGGCCCACCAAGGCGACGAUCCGUAGCUGGUCUGGGAGGAUGAUAAGCGACAUUGGAGGGGAGACACGGACCAGAGUCCUACGGGAGGCAGCAGUGGGGAAUAUUGGGCAAUGGGCGCAAGCCUGAUACAGCGAGACCGCGUGGGUGAAGAAGGCCUUCGGUUUGUAAAGCCCUUUUGUUGGGAAAGAAAAGCUGCAGGUUGAUACGCCGCUGUUCUGACGGUACCCAAAGAAUAAGCACCGGCUAACUACGUG